rnacentral:rRNA from 1 species
GAUGAACGCUAGCGGCAGGCUUAACACAUGCAAGUCGAGGGGUAUAGUUCUUCGGAGCUAGAGACCGGCGCAUGGGUGCGUAACGCGUAUGCAAUCUACCUUUUGCAGAGGGAUAGCCCAGAGAAAUUUGGAUUAAUACCUCAUGGUAUGUGAGAAUGGCAUCAUUUUCACAUUAAAGUCACAAAGGCAAAAGAUGAGCAUGCUUCCCAUUAGCUAGUUGGUAAGUUAACGGCUUACCAAGGCAACGAUGGGUAGGGGUCCUGAGAGGGAGAUCCCCCACACUGGUACUGAGACACGGACCAGACUCCUACGGGAGGCAGCAGUGAGGAAUAUUGGACAAUGGGCGCAAGCCUGAUCCAGCCAUGCCGCGUGCAGGAUGACGGUCCUAUGGAUUGUAAACUGCUUUUGUACAGGAAGAAACACUGGUUCGUGGACCAGCUUGACGGUACUGUAAGAAUAAGGAUCAGCUAACUCCGUGCCAGCCGCCGCGGUAAUAC